rnacentral:rRNA from 1 species
GACGAACGCUGGCGGCGUGCUUAACACAUGCAAGUCGAGCGGUAAGGCCCUUUCGGGGGUACACGAGCGGCGAACGGGUGAGUAACACGUGGGUGACCUGCCUUUAGCUCUGGGAUAAGCCUGGGAAACCGGGUCUAAUACCGGAUAUGACUCCGCGGCGCAUGUUGUGGGGUGGAAAGCCUUGUGCGGCUGGAGAUGGGCCCGCGGCCUAUCAGCUUGUUGGUGGGGUGAUGGCCUACCAAGGCGACGACGGUAGCCGGCCUGAGAGGGCGACCGGCCACACUGGGACUGAGACACGGCCCAGACUCCUACGGGAGGCAGCAGUGGGGAAUCUUGCGC